rnacentral:lncRNA from 10 species
AGCCCUCAGCGUACAUGCCAGCUAAUUACAGAUGCAGGAGCAAACCCCUGGCCCAUACAUCAAUUUUGAGUCUUGCUCUAUGGCCCAGACUGGAGUGCAGUGGCGUGAUCUCAGCUCACUUCAACCUCCACCUCCCGGGUUCGAGAGAGAUUCUCCUGCCUCAUCCUCCCGAGUAGCUGGGAUCACCGGCGCCCACAACCACACCCGGCUAAUUUUUGUACUUUUAGUGGAGACAGGGUUUCACCAUGUUGGCUAGGCUGGUCACAAACUCCCGACCUCAGGUUAUCCAUCUGCCUUGGCCUCCCAAAGUGCUGGGAUUACAGGCGUGAGCCCCCGCACCUGGCCAAGAUCAGCUAGAUUUUGGAAGCAUUGCCUUCUACAGAAUCCACAGUAGUCCGAAGCUCUUCUACGGUUUUUGUCAAACUUUGAUUUUCCAUCUCUAGCUUCAAUAAUCUACUUGAUGUCAACUCAUUCACCUCAUGGCCCAGGGAUUUCUGGGGUGCUAUAAUAUUGAAAAAUACACCAUUGUAUUUACUCUUUACUGUUUUUACUAUGUUUACUCUUUACUAUUUAAAAAGUUGAGUGUAUAUGCAUUGCAUCAUCUGAUCCUUAACUUUAUUAAAAAUUCAAUGAGGUUAUAUAA